GAUGAACGCUGGCGGCGUGCCUAAUACAUGCAAGUCGAGCGAACAGACGAGGAGCUUGCUCCUCUGACGUUAGCGGCGGACGGGUGAGUAACACGUGGAUAACCUACCUAUAAGACUGGGAUAACUUCGGGAAACCGGAGCUAAUACCGGAUAAUAUAUUGAACCGCAUGGUUCAAUAGUGAAAGACGGUUUUGCUGUCACUUAUAGAUGGAUCCGCGCCGCAUUAGCUAGUUGGUAAGGUAACGGCUUACCAAGGCAACGAUGCGUAGCCGACCUGAGAGGGUGAUCGGCCACACUGGAACUGAGACACGGUCCAGACUCCUACGGGAGGCAGCAGUGGGGAAUAUUGGACAAUGGGCGAAAGCCUGAUCCAGCCAUGCCGCGUGUGUGAAGAAGGUCUUCGGAUUGUAAAGCACUUUAAGUUGGGAGGAAGGGCAGUAAGUUAAUACCUUGCUGUUUUGACGUUACCAACAGAAUAAGCACCGGCUAACUUCGUG
rnacentral:rRNA from 1 species